AAAAACCUAUCCAUGGUUAGAAUAGGUACGUAGAGGAUGCUUGUGAAAUUGUGAUUAAGAGAGCCAAAAUCAAAUUGAGAAUUCCUUAAUCAAUUGAAUUGAAGAAGAGGUGGGAGGAUGGGAUGAGAUGGGAGGCUAGGAUCCAUAGAACGUAUGUAUGCAGAACUAAUUUUUUUUUUUUCAAAAGUGGUUUAGAAAGAUAAAGGAUACAAGGUAUAAAAUAAAAUAAAAUCAAGAAAGUAAAAAUAAGAAAAAAAAAUUGUAAUUAACAAAUUCAGAAAUUUAAAAAUAUUAGAAAUCUUACUUUAAUGAUGUGGGCAUGCCACGUCUGCUGUCAUGUAAGGUGGCCUCUAGGUGGUUCACUAAAAAGGUAGUUCAUCUAGCAUUACUCAAUAAACAACAAGAUUUAACAAGGUUUGGUCAAUUUCCUUGUUUACGUCAUUCGAGAGCUUUCAUCUUCUUUAUGAGAAAAUAACACAAAUACAAUAUACAUCACUCAAGUUUAUACCGAAUCUGAGCCCUUGCAUCCAAAAUGAUACCCCAUUGUUCACCCUCUCCCAACCUAAAAGAUUACUCUACCCCAAGAGCUAUAUAUGUCUUUAAACACAACCCCUCUUAUCUUCUAUAUCUUGGAAGACCCUUAGAGUAUUCUCUAUGAGAGAAUAACACAAGUACAAGAUACAUCACUCAAGUUUAUACCGAAUCUGAGCCCUUGCAUCCAAAACGAUACCCCAUUGUACACCCUUUCCCAACCUAAAAGAUUACUCUACCCCAAGAGCUAUACAUGUCCUUAAACACAACCCCCCUUAUCUUCUACAUCAGUUCUCCAUCUCUUGUUGUGUUCUCUCAUUGAUUGUCUUGUCCUAGAAUAGCAAAUGACCUCUCUAUAUAUAAGUCACGGAGGAAACCCUUAGACUUACUUCAUCAAUGCCCCAUACAAGAAACAACCAUUCAUCUUCCUCAUUAACUUCAUGGGAAGACUAUUCAUGAACCAACCCUCAAUCUCCCUUCUUAAGUACUCCCCAUGAAGGCUAAAAGGUCCAUCAUGAAUAAACUCAUACAUUUAUUCCCAAAUGCAUCAAAUUCCUCAUGUAUUUAUUUCCAAUACAUGUACUUAACUAUGCAUCAAUUACCAUAUAUACAUAAGUGAUCAUCAUGAAUGCACCAACGUUAGUACCAUGCAUAAUAUCUCUCUACCAUAGAGGGAUAGACACCAAACCUGACAGUGGGUUGUUUGUCCACUAUAGUAGUGAAGUUUGUAUGUAGAGUCUAAUAGACUCGGAUGUCUGCGUGUGUAGAUUGGAUCCCGUACUUGAGCUUCGUGUUCAUAUAAUCGACCUACUACUAGCAAAUCUCUCAAUGGUGACGCCAAAAGUUAUUAUCAUCAGAUAAUUUGUGUGAUUUACCAAACAUAACAAGCUACUAUGAAAAUGAAAAAAUGGUGAAAUGCUAUGCUAGAACCCCAAGUAAGACAUGAUUGAGACAAAUUAGAUUGGUAAUUAACAUUUGGAGAAUAUGGCCUGGCCCACGAACAUAUAUAACUUGAAUUAAUGGACGCCUAAGUUAUUACUUCUCAUAAGCUGAUAAGCAUGAUGUCGAUGCCUAGAUUACUUCGAUAUUAUAUGGAGAUAUGCUCUAUCCUGUUCUCUCAGCUGGGAACGGUGUGGUUUUAGAUCGAGUCGAUCACCACAAAGCUCUGGACUCGUGUCAUUCUCUCUGUGUGUGUUCUAACCGCCGACGUGUUGUUAAGAACGUAGCCCUACCUCUCUUGUCAGCAGCGUCUACCCUAUUACGUGUCAGCUCUUCCAUUCCUUGCCCCUCUUCACUCACCUUCCAAGCCCUCCUCUAUAAACCAGGCUUUUCCUCACAAUUUAACUCGUAGUUUGCUAAGUAAAAAACUGCAUAGUAUGUGUUUGUGAAAAGUAAUUUGAACAGGAGUAAGAUUCUGAGAAACCAUGGCACAAUCGACGCAGGACAUGAAGGACCCCCAGAAAAGGGACGAGCUGGAUGAGAGGGCAAGGAAGGGAGAGACUGUCAUUCCUGGUGGAACUCGCGGGAAGAGUCUCGAGGCCCAAGAGCACCUUGCUGAAGGUAAAUACAUAUGAAAAUCAAAUACAUAUGCUAUGUGAUAUAUUUGAUUAAUGUGGUUCGAUUAAUAAACGUUGUGCAUCCUUGCAUGAAUGAAUUAUUAGGACGACGCAAGGGUGGACUGAGCACCACGGACCAGUCCGGAGAAGAGCGUGCUCGCGAGGAAGGCAUUCCUUUAAAUCCUCUCGAGGCCAAGGAAAAGCAAGGCUGACAUCUAUAUAUAUGUUAGAUGAAGACAAACUGGGGUGUUGAACUUGUUGUUUACUCUAACUAGUUUUUUCAUCAGAACUCGAUCGUCCGGAGUCGUAUGUUUGUAGCACAUAUGUUGUUAUGUAGUUGUUUGUUGUCCACUAUAGUAGUGUAGUAUACUAGUAUAUGUUUGUAGAGACUAAUAGACUCGGAUGUCUGCGUGUGUAGAUUGGAUCCCGUACUAGAGCUUCAUGUUCAUAUAAUCGACGGUGACGCCAGAGUUAAUCUAUCAUCAUAUAAUUAAUGUGUGAUUUACCAAACACAACAAGCAACCAUAUGAAAUAAUGGUCAAAUGCUAAAACCCGAAGUAAGACAGGAUCCGGUGCUAACUACUCCAAAUCUCCAAUGGCAACAUAGCUUGAUUUGAUCAAUCAAAGGUUAACCAACUAACUUCACAUUCAAUUACAUCGUGCAUGGUGCUUCAACUUUUACGAGGGUGUUGGUUCCUAGUUCCUACCAAGUGUAAUCCCACCCAUCUCGUGGCUGCGAGCAGUAAAAUUUCGAAGAACCACGUAAAAUGACGUCUAUUACGUCUGGUAUUAGCUUGAAACUUUGAGAUACAAACCUUCCGCUACUAUGGUGUGAUUGUUGAUUUUACUAUGGUGAGAGCUGGCUGGGUAGUGCAUGGCAUGGAGAGAAAAGAUCUACUCAUUCACUCUCAUUGUGGCAUGGCAAGGGACUUGUAGGUCUUCACAACCAGACCGCUAUCAUAAACAUCAAGUAAGCAAGGAGAAGAGUCUCAGCGGAAGUCCUUCUCCCUGUUACCCACCGGGUAAAAUAUUAUGUCAGCGGAAGUUGGAAUUUCUCAGGUGCCAUGAGCUAGCUUCCAGGUCGAGAACAUUAGAAUUUUACGUUCCAUCCUGAAAACACUAUGACUCCACCGAUUAACUGACGCUCCACUGAUAUUACAUUA
rnacentral:lncRNA from 1 species